rnacentral:rRNA from 1 species
AGGACGAACGCUGGCGGCGUGCUUAACACAUGCAAGUCGAGCGGUAAGGCCUUUCGGGGUACACGAGCGGCGAACGGGUGAGUAACGCGUGGGUGAUCUGCCCUGCACUCUGGGAUAAGCCUGGGAAACUGGGUCUAAUACCGGAUAUGACCUGCUCUCGCAUGGGGGUGGGUGGAAAGAUUUAUCGGUGCAGGAUGGGCCCGCGGCCUAUCAGCUUGUUGGUGGGGUAAUGGCCUACCAAGGCGACGACGGGUAGCCGACCUGAGAGGGUGACCGGCCACACUGGGACUGAGACACGGCCCAGACUCCUACGGGAGGCAGCAGUGGGGAAUAUUGCACAAUGGGCGAAAGCCUGAUGCAGCGACGCCGCGUGAGGAUGAAGGCCUUCGGGUUGUAAACCUCUUUCAGCAGGACGAAGCGCAAGUGACGGUACCUGCAGAAGAAGCACCGGCUAACUACGUGCCAGCAGCCGC